UAAAAUACAGAAGGAGUAUUUCAUAAUUCUUUGUUCCACCCUACAUUUUUUUACGGGUAGAAGACUUGUAUUACUCAGAAUCAAUAUGAUUACAAUUUGCGAGAGCUAACUCUAGGGAAACUGAAGGUCCUGACCCAAGCCAAGUCAUAGUUCUUCCUUCAACCCUCGCAAACGACGCUAAACUAUCGCUAACUUAAUUCUGAGAACGAUUAACAAAGCUAAUACAAAUUCUACGAAGAGACAUUAAAUGACGAAUCUCUCUAAUAAUGGUUGAAUAUAAGGAUCUGUCCUCAUCCUGGGCUUGAAUCGUCUUCAAGGCCACCAUGGAGUCCACCUCGACGAUAAUUGGGAGUUCUGACCGUUGGAUUGAUAGAGAUAGGCCUUCCUUCCACCCUACAUUUGAAAUGUUGUCCGGUACCGUUCCGUUUCGAAGAAAAAAUGUUGUCCGGUACAUUUCAUUCAACUUUCAUUUGUACGUCCAGAAAAUAGUAGUCAGGUUUGUUUUCUCCCUAACUCGAAAAAGAAGGAUUAAUUUUUUUAUGAACCCAAGUUUAAGUACGAUGCACAUGCACUUGUUGACCACGCCAUGGCAAAAGCCGGCCUUUUCCUAUUUCCUUCUCUUUGGAAACUACUGCGCAUUCCAUCCUCACCCUGCUAGAAGACAAGUUGGCAUCUAUCUCCUGAUCCUCCGUUCCUAUAUAAUCCUUUUUCCUCCUGAAGCUUCGCCGUCGUAGCUGUGCUGCGUUGUAGCUCCAUUCCUCCACCAUUUCCUGGCGCCCUACCUCAUGUGCUCACCUUAUUCAACUGUAGCAGAUUCUGUUGUGUUUCCUCUCACCUACAACAUCGGAUGGCGCUGCAUUAAGCAAAGAAUUAUCUUUAACUUUUACUAGAAGUUGGGAAUGCAUCUGAAUAAAGCAAGAUUGUACCUCAAGUACCUCUUUCUAUGCAAAGGGUUUUCAUUUUUGCGUAACAUAAUGUCCAAACAUUACACCCCCAACUUUAGUCAGAAGUUCUAUUUCCAUUUUCUCAACCGUUGAAUCACACAUGGUUAGUCUGGAAUUGCAGCAACAAACCGUCACGAAAGGCCAAGCCUCGGACAAAAACAUUAGCAUAAUAUGCGGAAAGCCAUCACACAGCACUACAUAGGAAUAGUUUUUCCGGCAAUAAUAAAAACAACUCUGCAUAAUCCUGCAUUCUCAUGGCCAAAGGAUAUUAUGUGUCAGCAAAAAUGAUUCAUAAAAAGGAUUGACUUCAGCAUUUGGAAUUGUACUUAGCUACAAAGUUUUGUUCCCCCUAUGCACCUUU
rnacentral:lncRNA from 1 species